UCCUCAUUCAGCAUUGCACUUUUUCCAUAAAGUGUCUUGUUUCAUUAAAAGGUCCUGAUGAUCACUUUCAAAUUCUAGGAUGCAUAUUUGUCACUGAGCUCUGUACUGGGUAGUGAAAGCCUUCUACACUGCUGUGUGUUCUACUGGUAUGUUGUCACAGGUCCACUGAUAGAAGUUCCAGAGUUCUGUGGGAGACGUGAGUCCCAGCCUGCACCUUCCUUCCAGGCCCUUGGCCUCCUUCUCCUCCAACGUAAUGUGUUUGAAAAGAAGAAAUUUAACACUUGGGGCAAAUCAUCAUCGACUGUCAUGAUUCGUUUUCUGUGUAUCAGACGGUCAGGUAGGCAUCUUUUACGACACAAUCGCCUUACGCCAGUUAAUUAUGCGGCAUAAUUAUUGCUGCAAAGACUUGACGGCAAAAAACGCCGGAGGCGGCCACAGCCGGGGGCCUUUCCCGUGAAGGUACCGGCAAUUUCCAAAUGCUGGCAGUGCCCGAGGCUUUAGAAGAAGGACUAUUCAAAGCCUUAAAUUUCUACUCUCUGCCCACCUUCAUCCCGUCGGAAGAAGCGAUGCCACAGGGUUUUAAGAGCUCAUAUUCUGGGCAUUUUCAACCAACGAAGGGCUGGGGUCGCAUCACUCGACUGCUCACUCUUGGAAAGCCUGCACUGAUUCAUUGCUUGGGGAGCCAAGGGGUGACACAUACAUAUUUUGAAUGUGACCCUGGGUGUAGAUCUGCAUAGCGCUUGACUGAAAGCACUUCUCCUUCUUGAGGUGUUCACACGUGGCUGCUUUCAGUGGAACUUUUACUUAAAAAAAAGACAAUCUUCAAUACAAUUCUUUCAUUUGCAAGUUGAACUUUCUGAAAAAUUAUACAGUGAACCCUAGUAUGUUUUGUUUUUAUUUUCUUACUGUGGUUCCUCCAGCAUCCUGGCCCCUCAGAGAACAAACCCCUUUCUCUUUAAUGAAAACACACAAUGACAACCACUCGGUACCAUGGAAAUUAAGCUCUUCGGUCUGACCAUCUUCUGUAGCAGGCAUCAGAGAAGCAGGAUGUCUUCCUGAACUGAAAUGUUGGCUCAAGAAUUCCCAUAAACUGCCUUACACUUCAUGUUAAGAAAAACUCCCUGACACUGAGCAUACUCUCCCUUGCUGCCAGGCGUCUUUCUGUUUAUGUAGACUUUGUUUACACGUGCCCCCUGUUAAUAAAAAUCUAUAUUUAACAGAUGCACUCAA
ensembl:lncRNA